rnacentral:rRNA from 1 species
GUGGCGACCGGCGCACGGGUGAGUAACGCGUAUGCAACCCAUCUAUCAGAGGGGAAUAACCCGGCGAAAGUCGGACUAAUACCGCAUAAAACAGGGGCACCGCAUGGUGCUAUUUGUUAAAGAAAUUCGCUGAUAGAUGGGCAUGCGUUCCAUUAGGUAGUUGGUGAGGUAACGGCUCACCAAGCCGACGAUGGAUAGGGGAACUGAGAGGUUGGUCCCCCACACUGGUACUGAGACACGGACCAGACUCCUACGGGAGGCAGCAGUGAGGAAUAUUGGUCAAUGGGCGAGAGCCUGAACCAGCCAAGUCGCGUGAAGGAAGAAGGAUCUAUGGUUCGUAAACUUCUUUUGCAGGGGAAUAAAGUGCGGGACGUGUCCUGUUUUGUAUGUACCCUGAGAAUAAGGAUCGGCUAACUCCGUGCCAGCAGCCGCGGUAAUACGGAGGAUCCGAGCGUUAUCCGGAUUUAUUGGGUUUAAAGGGUGCGUAGGUGGUUUUAUAAGUCAGCGGUGAAAGUUUGCAGCUUAACUGUAAAAAUGCCGUUGAAACUGUAAGACUUGAGUGUAAAUGAGGUAGGCGGAAUGCGUGGUGUAGCGGUGAAAUGCAUAGAUAUCACGAAGAACUCCGAUUG